GAGCGGAGAUACCGAGGCGGCGAGGCGAAGCUCGAUUUGCGAGUUUGCAAACGUGUUUUUUGUGUUGGGAUUAGAGGCGCGAAGCUGUCUGCGAGGUUUUAAGCAGAAAUCGUGUUUUGAGAUCACUGACGUCGACCUAAUCACGUUGAGUCGUGACAAAGGAGGGCGAAAUUUGGGCGUCUGUGAGGCUAAAACCGCAACCGAGCAAAGAAUGAAUCGUGAGAUGGGGGCAACAGGGAUUCUUCCUCCCACAAAGCUCGUUGGAUGUUUUUUCACGGUUCGAAGAAUGUCGCGGACUCGCCACGUGUCGUGGAAGUCUUCGAGUCUCAUUUCAUGACUGGGUGUGUUGUUGGUCUCUCGCCUUUCAAAGUGGACUUACUGGAUUUGAAUCAUCGUGCCAUCUCAUAUGGAGGAAGGGUUGAUGGAUGUUGCGAAGGAUUUCGUGCGCAGCUCAAUUGUGGGGUAACUUUUUUUUUUAGUUUAUUCGCAAAGGAAUCUUAACCCACUAGCCUCUAGCCUCCACCUCUCUGAGAAAACAGUACGCCCACACAUCCCUUGGAUUUGCUUGCACAUUUGUCCAAACUGUACACAUACGCUUUCCAUAUCUUGGCCUCCUGGUCACUGCUUCACUCUAGACUUCUCUUGGUGUUACAACAGCCUGGUGCUGUCCCGUGGGGUUUAUGACUUGAUGUUGCGGUGCUCCAUUUAUUCGAAGGAGUGAAAGAACAGAUGGCAACCUCCUCAUCUGUUCCUUCGAAAUUCUUUAUCGCUUCUUACAGGCCUGAUGUUUUUGGCGAUUGCAGCAUUGAAGAACUCAGAAGGUCUGCAAAAAACAAUGUAUCACUUUCAAAUGCUUUUUUGGGAACAGGGAGGUUAUAUCGACACAGCCAUGUGUUGAGUUUGCAAAAUCAGGGAGGAAAAAAAGGACUCCUUCGAUGCCAGGCUCUCUUUGGAAGGAAUGCUCCUAAGGAUGAGAAUGAUCCGGAGGAUGACUCAACCAGGAGCAUAAACAAUAUAAGCUCUGAGGCUUUCCGGCAACGCAUUGAACGAAUAGUAAACAGUGACAAUGCUGAUGUUUCUUUUCGAGGGAUAGAUUUGGCUACACUUAUAAGGAAGAAAUAGGGGCGAUCGUAUGAUGUACAAUUUAUUAAGAAAGAUGCAGGAAUUUAUGGGACGCCAGCUCUUAGCUAUGAAUGUUAUGUGGAAGUAUCGUGAGCAGGUAACCAUCAUCUAUUAAAUACUUCUCUUUUAAACUUACACUCUCUAGAGCAUGAGUUGUAGAAUCUUGGCUUUGUGCAUUGGGUCGGUCCAACAUAGGUUUCACCGUUAGUGAAAAUAUGAAUUGGCAUUUUGAACACUAUAUCAGCUGAAGAUAAAUACAACUGUUUUAAAUUAACCGUUCACCUAAGUUGCAUUUUUAACCACAUGCUCUAAAAAGACUGGACAUGAUUCAACUCAUCAUUAAUUAUUGAGAUAACAUGCUUCUCA